GGGUUGUGAGGUUAAGCGACUAAGCGUACACGGUGGAUGCCCUGGCAGUCAGAGGCGAUGAAGGGCGUGCUAAUCUGCGAUAAGCGCCGGUAAGGUGAUAUGAACCGUUAUAACCGGCGAUACCCGAAUGGGGAAACCCAGUGUGACUCGUCACACUAUCAUUAACUGAAUCCAUAGGUUAAUGAGGCGAACCGGGGGAACUGAAACAUCUAAGUACCCCGAGGAAAAGAAAUCAACCGAGAUUCCCCCAGUAGCGGCGAGCGAACGGGGAGGCGCCCAGAGCCUGAAUCAGCAUGUGUGUUAGUGGAAGCGUCUGGAAAGGCGCGCGAUACAGGGUGACAGCCCCGUACACAAAAGCGCAUGUGCUGUGAGCUCGAUGAGUAGGGCGGGACACGUGGUAUCCUGUCUGAAUAUGGGGGGACCAUCCUCCAAGGCUAAAUACUCCUGACUGACCGAUAGUGAACCAGUACCGUGAGGGAAAGGCGAAAAGAACCCCGGCGAGGGGAGUGAAAAAGAACCUGAAACCGUGUACGUACAAGCAGUGGGAGCCCCACCACUAAGCCAGUGGUGAACUCCACAUACGCAUCCUUUGCUGAGGAUACGGUUAACGGAGCGAAAGCGACGUUCAACCGCAAAAGAAGCAGAGGGGGCUUAGUGGUGGGGUGACUGCGUACCUUUUGUAUAAUGGGUCAGCGACUUAUAUUCUGUAGCAAGGUUAACCGUAUAGGGGAGCCGUAGGGAAACC
rnacentral:rRNA from 1 species